rfam:Abiotrophia defectiva ATCC 49176 genomic scaffold Scfld0, whole genome shotgun sequence.
AGGUAGAAUGAUAAAAACACAUGAAUCGGUUGGUAGUCCGGUCCUAGCUUUGGCUAGCAGUAACCUGCCCCUCCUGGGUUGUCCCUUCAUUUGAAUUCAAAA